rnacentral:tRNA from 1 species
GAAAAUUUAGUUAAUUAAUAACAACGAAAUGUCAUUUCGUAGUAAAAUGUAGAAUUUUAAUUUUCC